GACGAACGCUGGCGGCGUGCCUAAUACAUGCAAGUCGAACGCAGUGGGGACGGUUGAGUAACAUGUGGGUAACCUCCCAUCAGAGGGGAUAACACUUGGGAACAGGUGCUAAACUGAUAUUGAUGGAUGGACCCGCUGUGCAUUAGCUAGUUGGUGAGGUAACGGCUCACCAAGGCCACGAUGCAUAGCCGACCUGAUAGGGUGAUCGGCCACACUGGGACUGAGACACGGCCCAGACUCCUACGGGAGGCAGCAGUAGGGAAUCUUCGGCAAUGGACGAAAGUCUGACAGAGCAACGCCGCGUGAGUGAAGAAGGUUUUCGGAUUGUAAAGCACUGUUGUUGGAGAAGCGGUAUCUAACCAGAAAGCCACGGCUAACUACGUGCCAGCAGCCGCGGUAAUUC
rnacentral:rRNA from 1 species